UCUCCGUUGGUGAACCAGCGGAGGGAUCAUUACUGGAAUCGCAAGAUUCCUAUAACCCCUGUGAACUUACUACAAAUACGUUGCUUCGGCGGGUGCCCCGGGUCUCCCGGGGCGUUCAGCCCGCCGGCAGCCUUCAAAUUCUGUUUCUUUGCGUUGGCAUCUCGAGUAUACAAAAAUAAGUUAAAACUUUCAACAACGGAUCUCUUGGUUCUG
rnacentral:misc_RNA from 1 species